rnacentral:rRNA from 1 species
AGUGAACGCUGGCGGUAGGCCUAACACAUGCAAGUCGAACGGCAGCACAGUAAGAGCUUGCUCUUACGGGUGGCGAGUGGCGGACGGGUGAGGAAUACAUCCGAAUCUACUUUUUCGUGGGGGAUAACGUAGGGAAACUUACGCUAAUACCGCAUACGACCUACGGGUGAAAGCAGGGGAUCUUCGGACCUUGCGCGAUUGAAUGAGCCGAUGUCGGAUUAGCUAGUUGGCGGGGUAAAGGCCCACCAAGGCGACGAUCCGUAGCUGGUCUGAGAGGAUGAUCAGCCACACUGGAACUGAGACACGGUCCAGACUCCUACGGGAGGCAGCAGUGGGGAAUAUUGGACAAUGGGCGCAAGCCUGAUCCAGCCAUACCGCGUGGGUGAAGAAGGCCUUCGGGUUGUAAAGCCCUUUUGUUGGGAAAGAAAAGCAGCAGGUUAAUACCACGCUGUUCUGACGGUACCCAAAGAAUAAGCACCGGCUAACUUCGUG